GUAAAGCAGGGCCCGCCGGCCCAGCCCCCCUCCCAGGUUUCGGAGCCAAGGAAGCUGAGAACAAGGGGACAAAGUCACUUUCCCAGCCAUCAUCUUCCCUGCACUGGAAGGGGCAGAACGAGGACCCAGCACUGAGAGGAAACAGCUGGUAUGUGCCCUAGAAGGUUAAAGACGGUGUUCAACUCCGCUGGCCACAGACCACAAUGAAAAGGAGCUGCUGGCUGGGCACGAUGGCUCAUACCUAUAAUCCCAGCACUUUGGAAGGCCAAGGUGGGAGGAUCACCUGAGGU